GAGGGUGAGGCCUGCCCAAUGGUUGUAUCUAAAAGCGGUGGAUAAAAGUCGACCGUGUAAGGACAAUUGAAUGGCCGCGGUAACACUGACCGUGAUAAUGUAGCGUAAUCACUAGCCAAUUAAUUGUUGGCCAGUAUGAAUGGCGCCACGAAGGCCCCACUGUCUUAAGGAAAUUCCCAGUGAAAUUGAAUUCGUAGUGAAGAUGCUACGUCCAAUUUGUUAGACGAAAAGACCCCGUUGAGCUUUACUGGGGCACUUACACGGCCCUGGCCUUCAAGCCUAAGUGUGAUAGGCCAAGGCUUACCGCACCUAGGAGUUGGCCGAAUUUAAAUGGGUGGCUUAGACUAUGUGGCAGCCCCCCGUCGGGGCAGAUGAAACCCCACUCCCCCAUGUCAAAGGGGCUAACCCCCUCCUUUUGGGAGGGGGGACAAUGUAAGUAGGACAGUUUGGUUGGGGCGACCGCCUUUUAAAUAGUAACGAAGGUGCGCUUAAGGUGUGUAAUUAAUGACUGAAGCCUGACUGCGAGGGGGACACCCCGAGCAGACACCCCCAAGCCCGCCCGGGAGGGCGGCGAUGGGGUGG
rnacentral:rRNA from 1 species